CCUACGGGUGGCAGCAGUGGGGAAUAUUGGGCGAUGGGCGCAAGCCUGACCCAGCAACGCCGCGUGAAGGAAGAAGGCUUUCGGGUUGUAAACUUCUUUUAAGAGGGAAGAGCAGAAGACGGUACCUCUUGAAUAAGCCACGGCUAACUACGUGCCAGCAGCCGCGGUAAUACGUAGGUGGCAAGCGUUGUCCGGAUUUACUGGGUGUAAAGGGCGUGUAGCCGGGCUGACAAGUCAGAUGUGAAAUUCCGGGGCUCAACCCCGGACCUGCAUUUGAAACUGUUGGUCUUGAGUAUCGGAGAGGCAGGCGGAAUUCCUAGUGUAGCGGUGAAAUGCGUAGAUAUAUGGAAGAACACCAGUGGCGAAGGCGGCUGUCUGGUCUGCAACUGACGCUGAGGCUCGAAAGCAUGGGUAGCGAACAGGAUUAGAUACCCCUGUAGUC
rnacentral:rRNA from 1 species